rnacentral:rRNA from 1 species
CGGCAACAGCUCAAAUUUGAAAUCUGGUCCUCGGGCCCGAGUUGUAAUUUGUAGAGGAUGUUUCGGGCACCGUCGCGGUGUAAAUUUCUUGGAACAGAAUGUCAUAGAGGGUGAGAAUCCCGUCUGAAACCGCGAUAGGACCUAUGUGAAACUCCUUCGAC